CGAAAGAAAGGCGACGCUGAACGCCAUCCUGGGGUCCCGCCGAAGCGUCCUGCUCUGAACAGGUUCAGGCAAGCCCUGGUUCCCUGAUAACCAGGGAUGCCUCCUCAGGCCUGCUUCUGGAUGCGAGAACCACGGAGGGUGGCAGGGACUUGUACUAAAUCGCCGCAUUGUUUCUUCAGCAUGCCUGCAUACACUCCAGUUUUAUGAAUCGGAUCUUGCGUGGAGCCCUAGCUGCCCUGAAAUUUGCUAUGUGAGCCAGGCUGGCCUUGAGUCUGCAGCAGCGCCUCCUCUUGGCUCUGCCCCCAAGCACUAGGACUGCAGCAGGAGUGCGUGGCUGUGUCUGGACACAUUUGGAAUUUGUACUUUAGAUGAUAUCACAACAGCACCUAAAAUCAAGUUAUAUAUGUUUCAAGAGUUCAAAGAUUUAAAAUUCAAAAAGAGAAUAUAGGUGGUUUUGACAUAAUUGCAGUUUGAAAAUGACAAAUCAUAAAGGUUUUAUAGACUACGACUUCCCAUAAGUAGGCAAAUAUUCACUGCCAUCACCUACACAUUUUAAAAAAUCUGACACAUUCCUACAGAAGCUUGUACACACAAUAUUUACUAUCACUGUGUUUCAAAUCAUAGCUAAUAGUGCUCUAAAAAAAGUCAGGAUAGAAUUUAAACGUGGAUGCAGCAGAUCCUCUGCCACUGUCAGGCACCGGGAAACAAGGUAGCAGGGUAGGUAUCUCUUGUUAGACACUCCAGUUAACUCUGACAGCACACUCCUCUAGGCCCAGCACUUGAGAGGCGAGGGCAGGAGACUCAGGAGUUCAAGGUCAUCCAUCCUUGGCUACAUUGUUGAGUUUACACAGCAGCUUGAGGCGCGUGAGACUGUCUCAAACAAACAAGCAGAUUGCUAAAAACUCGGCAGAACCUGCUUUUAUGUACUUUUAUAUAUUCUUCAUUUUUUUUUCAAUCAGAUGAUUCCUUUCAGGGUUGCUUAGAUCAGGGUUAUAAUACAUAGCUGACAGUCCUCUGUAGAAUGAAUAAAAUCUGUUCACUUUAGAGAUGAAAAUUAUAAAACUUUUUUAUAAAUUAUGUUAUUAAAAUGAACAUAUUUAUUAAAAGUGUAAGUGAAAAAUAUUUAAUCAUUUUAGGGCAGUCAAAACACAAUAUAUGAUUGGUAUCUUGGUGGUUGAAAGUAAUCACUUUACCACAUGCUUUGUAAACAUUUGUACCAUUCAUUUAGAGUUGAUAGUCAAUUUAAAACUGAGCUUUAAUCAAAGUUAUUUUCAAACAUUGUCAUAAUGUCACUUUGAAGAGUCAUAUCAAUGGUACCCGCCAUCUGUAAAAAAGAGAAGAUUCUCAUUAAUUAAGAUGCAUGCUUUUAUUACAGUUUUAUAUAGAUAUACAUUUGGAAAAAUUUCAUGCAAAAUAUAAAUGACUACCUUGCUGACCAUAUAUAUAAUUUUAGAUUAAACACAUACGUGGUUUCUUUAAAUAGACUAUACAUAUAAUAAAAUGCCACAAGGACAUUUAAGUUUAAUUCUCCAAUGAAGAAGAGAAUCUCAGUGAGAAUGCAAGCUGGAUGCAGUGUUUCCUUGUCCCUGGGACCAUCACAGCACCAGGCACAGGGAGUCGUCUUAACCACACUGGAAAGACGGCUCAGUAGUUAAGUGAGCCAGACAAAAGACUGCCUUCAAUUCCCAGCACCCAUGUCAGGUGGCCCACAACUACCUGUAACUCUAACCAGGCUAACUUACUCCUCUGGCCUCAAUGGGUGUGAGCAUGCCACACACUGACACACACACACACACACACACACACACACACACACACACACACACACACUUUUGAAAGUUUAGUCUUAGCAAUGCAAUAUACAAUCCCUGUGUGAGAAAAUGCUAGCUUACAGUGUAAAGCUAUGGGCUUUCAUUGAUUCUGACACUGACUAGUAACUGUUUGUUUAUGAGAAUGGGAUCAAAGCACAGGGCAGUGUGAGGGAGAGUGUUCAUUUGCAUAUUAGCAAUCUUUAAGAAAUGAGCUAAAAGAGCAGAAAAUGCUAAGUCAAACAAAAGAAGCAUGGUCACGACAUUCUUUUGUCAAGCAAAGUCGGAAGUUAUUAUGAAAAGGGUUUUGUAUAAACUGCAUUCUAAGAGGAAAUGAGUGACACGUGAGGGGACAGGGGAAUGCUCUAGUAGGCAUUCGUUUCCAGGGGAGUCCUUUAAGAGUUUUCUAAAUGCUUCUUGCCAUGUGAAGUAAUAGCAAGCAUUAAAAUAUAAAAGGGCUCCACCCACUCCCCACAGCAGAUCAGUGAGAUGCAAAAGCUCUGGUCUGUGGCCAGUUGGUUGGCUUCUUGGAUGUGAACUGGCAGUUUCAUUAGUUGUGUAGGAAAGGAUUUAGAGCUAUGGCCUACCUACCAAAAGGAUAAUAAAAGGCUUAUUUCUCCAACAUCACAAAGAGGGGUGGGGCAUGUCUGACUCUAACAGACUGUAAGAACUCCUUAAAGUUUGCCUUAGAGAUCAACAAACAACAACAAAACUUAAAUCAGGACAUUUUGAAUGCUCAGCCUCCUAAGAUGGCAAUUAUCUAGCCGGAGUAGUUCUUUGAAGCUUAUUUUUGACUGCCGCGUAAGAGCUGGAAAAGUUCCUGUCUAAGUAUCAUGCAGUGCUGCUCUAUAGCAGGCACACUGGAAAACUGGAAGAAAAUCUAAUGAAACCUUUUUUACAUUUAAGUAAAAAUGAAAAUCUUUAUUUUGAAGGUUGCAUGUAGAAUCUUAUUUUAGAUUCACAUAUAUCUUAGCUAAAGUCAGUUCACUUUCAGAGACUCUUCACCAAUCAACAUUAGGGAUCAUGACUUAAAAUACCACUUGACUUUGCAGCAGGUACGGCAGGCUGGGUAUUCCUUUCUCUGUGGUCCCAAUCACAGAUGGAGGACUCCACGGCUGAUGAAGGAGACUGCGUGACGUGGACUCUGAGUGCUGCUACAGGCUCUGGGCUAGUCAAGCUCCUGAAAGGUGCUCAGGGUAUCAGGAAUGACAUCAGGCUGGGAGGGGUUGCUAGGGGGCGCUAGACUUUUGUGAAAGUACUGGAAGAUGACUAAAAUCAGGUACUUGUGAGUGUCAACAAGAGGAUUCAUGAGUUUUUAAGAAAGCAAUAAACAAUCCUCUAAAUGUUUGAAACUGAUAAUAGAACAUGCCUAUCACAGUAGGAACUUGUACAAAAGCAGGGUUGUAUAGUAAACUCUGGGACAGAGGAUGUAGCUCAGUGCUAGAUGCUGUUCAAUAAAACAAAAUCUGUGUAACACUGCCAUUCAUUUCUGCCUCUGAUCCCAGUAUUCAAGAAGCUGUGGCAGGCGAGAUUUCAUCUCACCACAAUCAGAAUGGUAAUCAGCAAGAAAACAAAAAGCAACAAAUGCUCUCAAGGAUAUAGGGAGACCUAAAGAAUGCCAGGAAUGUAAAUUAGUAUAGACAUUAUGGAAAUCAGUCUGGGUGUUCUUCAAAAAAUAAACUAAAAAUAUACAGCUCUACCAUUCCUGGGCAUAUACCCAAAGGAAUCAGAGUCCCCAUAGAAAUAAAGAAACCUGAACAUCUACAUGUACUGUGACACCAUUCCCAAUAGUUAAGCACACAUCAACAGAUGAAUGUAUAAAUAAAAGAUAUGUCUGUAUCUCUAA